rnacentral:lncRNA from 1 species
CAUCCGCCCCCACCCCCCCCGUGCCCCACAGCCCCCCCGUGCCCCACGGCACUCACGGGUGUCUCCGACGCUGGUGCAGACCCAGCCGUGGGUCUGGUUGUGGGGCAGGCAGUCGUACCAGAGGUUCAGCGUCUCCCCAUCCGGCAGCACCCACCAGGCCUGUGGGGCAGGACGUGUGGGGCCCAGAUGCCGGGGUGCCCUGCUGUGGGGCACGCUAUGGGGCCCGGAUGCAUGGGUCUGUGGUUGUGGGUCGCGCUAUGGGUCACAGACACCUGGGUCUGUGGUUGUGGGGUGCGCUGUGGGUCACAGACACCUGGGUCUGUGGUUGUGGGGUGCGCUGUGGGUCACAGACACCUGGGUCUGUGGUUGUGGGGUGCGCUGUGGGUCACAGACACCUGGGUCUGUGGUUGUGGGUCGCGCUAUGGGUCACAGACACCUGGGUCUGUGGUUGUGGGGUGCGCUGUGGGUCACAGACACCUGGGUCUGUGGUUGUGGGGUGCGCUGUGGGUCACAGACACCUGGGUCUGUGGUUGUGGGGUGCGCUGUGGGUCACAGACACCUGGGUCUGUGGUUGUGGGGUGCGCUGUGGGUCACAGACACCUGGGUCUGUGGUUGUGGGGUGCGCUGUGGGUCACAGACACCUGGGUCUGUGGUUGUGGGGUGCGCUGUGGGUCACAGACACCUGGGUCUGUGGUUGUGGGGUGCGCUGUGGGUCACAGACACCUGGGUCUGUGGUUGUGGGGUGCGCUGUGGGUCACAGACACCUGGGUCUGUGGUUGUGGGGUGCGCUGUGGGUCACAGACACCUGGGUCUGUGGUUGUGGGGUGCGCUGUGGGUCACAGAGAGCUGGGUCUGUGGUUGUGGGGCACACUAUGGGUCACGUUGCUAUGGGUCACAGAUCUAUGGGUCACGCUAUGGGUCACAGACACCCGGGUCUGUGGUUGUGGGUUGCGCUGUGGGUCCUGGAGGCGUGGGUCUGUGGUUGUGGGUCACGCUAUGGGUUGUGCUAUGGGUCACGCUAUGGGUCACAGACGCCUGGGUCUGUGGUUGUGGGGCGCGCUGUGGGUCCCAGACGCUUGGGUGCCCCGGUGUGGGUCACGCUAUGGGUCAGAGAUCUAUGAGAUCAUGGGGAGAGACGGAUCUAUGGGGCACAGAUCUAUGGGUCACGGAUCUAUGGGUCAUGGAUCAAUGGGUCAUGGAUCUAUGGGACACGGAUCUAUGGGUCACGGACCUAUGGGUCACGCCGUGGGUCACGGAUCUAUGGGGCAUGAAUCUAUGGGUCAUGGAUCUAUGGGACACGGAUCUAUGGGUCACGGACCUAUGGGUCACGCCGUGGGUCACGGAUCUAUGGGGCAUGAAUCUAUGGGUCAUGGAUCUAUGGGACACGGAUCUAUGGGUCGCGAAUCUAUGGGUCAGGGAUCUAUGGAUCACAGAUCU